GAGGCCAGUCCUCCUGAUCACUUUAAUUCACAGUACAGUCAUCAUGCUUUAGUGACAAACAACCUCUUCAUUGAUGAAUGGAACUAUUAUUAUUAUAUUGCAAUGGAAGCAACCAGCUAUUGUUCCCAAGUAUCCACUGAUAUACCUCCUUUGGACUUUAUACCAUAUAGCUUGGAAAUUUCAAAUUAUCAUGAUCGAUUAGUUGUGUCUCCUGUAUUUCUUCCAUUCCCUCCUCCUGCACCUGUCACUGAGCUUCACUUGAUCUCGACAUAGCUAG